rnacentral:rRNA from 1 species
UUCGAAUGUUUGAUCCUGCUCAGGACGAACGCUGCGCGUGCUUAACACAUGCAAGUCACGGGGACCGCAAGGUAACCGGCGAACGGGUGCGUAACACGUGAGCAACCUACCCAAGUGUGGAGGAUAGCCGGUCCAACGACCGGGUAAUACCGCAUACGCUCUCCGAAGGGACAUCCCUUGGUGAGGAAACCUCCGGGGCACAUGGAGGAGCUCGCGGCCUAUCAGCUAGUUGGUGCGGUAACGGCGCACCAAGGCUAUGACGGGUAGCUGGUCUGAGAGGAUGGCCAGCCACAUUGGGACUGCGACACGGCCCAGACUCCUACGGGAGGCAGCAGUGGGGAAUAUUGCGCAAUGGACGAAAGUCUGACGCAGCGACGCCGCGUGGGGGAUGAAGCAUUUCGGUGUGUAAACCCCUGCUGCUCGGGACGAACAAGCCUUUUCGAGGGCUCUGACGGUACCGGGUGAGGAAGCACCGGCUAACUCUGUGCCAGCAGCCGCGGUAAUACAGAGGGUGCGAGCGUUGUCCGGAAUCACUGGGCGUAAAGGGCGCGUAGGCGGCCGAUCAAGUGUGUGGUGAAAGCCCGGGGCUCAACCCCGGGUCUGCCGUGCAAACUGGUUGGCUUGAGCACUGUAGAGGCAGGUGGAAUUCCGGGUGUAGCGGUGGAAUGCGUAGAGAUCCGGAAGAACACCGGUGGCGAAGGCGGCCUGCUGGGCAGUAGCUGACGCUGAGGCGCGACAGCGUGGGGAGCAAACAGGAUUAGAUACCCUGGUAGUCCACGCCGUAAACGAUGGGCACUAGGUGCUUGGGGGAGCGACCCCCUGAGUGCCGUCGCUAACGCAUAAGUGCCCGC